GGCCCCAUGGUCAAGAGGUUAAGACAUCGCCCUUUCACGGCGGUAACCCGGGUUCGAUUCCCGGUGGGGUCACCA
rnacentral:tRNA from 1 species